rnacentral:misc_RNA from 1 species
UACCGAGUGCGGGCCCUCUGGGUCCAACCUCCCAUCCGUGUCUAUCUGUACCCUGUUGCUUCGGCGUGGCCACGGCCCGCCGGAGACUAACAUUUGAACGCUGUCUGAAGUUUGCAGUCUGAGUUUUUAGUUAAACAAUCGUUUAAAACUUUCAACAACGGAUCUCUUGGUUCCGGCAUCGAUGAAGAACGCAGCGAAAUGCGAUAAUUAAUGUGAAUUGCAGAAUUCAGUGAAUCAUCGAGUCUUUGAACGCACAUUGCGCCCCCUGGUAUUCCGGGGGGCAUGCCUGUCCGAGCGUCAUUGCUGCCCUCAAGCACGGCUUGUGUGUUGGGCUUCCGUCCCUGGCAACGGGGACGGGCCCAAAAGGCAGUGGCGGCACCAUGUCUGGUCCUCGAGCGUAUGGGGCUUUGUCACCCGCUCCCGCAGGUCCAGCUGGCAGCUAGCCUCGCAACCAAUCUUU